AAUCCAUGUUGAGGACAUUUCCGCAGGAGCUCCUUAGGCCUAUUCCAUGUAUCAAAAAGAGACUCCAAUUCUGUUUGCAAAAAGAAGGAAAUUUCAUUCCUGAGCUU